UACAGAGGGUGCAAGCGUUGUUCGGAAUUACUGGGCGUAAAGCGUGCGCAGGCGGUUUUGUAAGUCUGUCGUGAAAGCCCCGGGCUCAACCUGGGAAUUGCGAUGGAGACUGCAAGGCUUGAAUCUGGCAGAGGGGGGUAGAAUUCCACGUGUAGCAGGUGAAAAUGCGUAGAGAUGUGGAGGAACACCGAUGGCGAAGGCGAGUCCCUGGACAAACCCUGACACUGAGGCACGAAAGCCAAGGGAGCAAACAGG
rnacentral:rRNA from 1 species